AUGCACAUGAUGUAAAUUUAUUCUGUCUGAAAUCAUUGAUGUGUUCAAAGGAACCACUGAUGCAU